CUAUGCCCAGUGUGGGACUGGAACUCACAGCCCAAGAUCAAGAGUCGUAUGCUCUAUUGACUGAGCCAGCCAGGCACCCCAUCUGGUGAUCUUUGAAGUGAUGUUGUAAUAAUGUUGCCCUUGGCAACCACUCGCCACAAGUAGGCUAUAGGUAUGCAGUCUGGAUUCCUGAGAAUAGUACUCUGUAAUUUUCUCAGUAAGGAAAUCUGAUAGCUUUGACAAGUCCUGAUGAAAGAGAAGACUGAAUCAAAGAGAAUACUCAGGAGGCUCCUGGAGUAGUCUAAACAUGAAGCUCUUCUGACCAUGAUCCAGAUUCUUUCCUACGUUGACUAGUGAUAUCUUCUAGCUCUUCUGAAGUACCCUCCUUUUCAGACAUCUUAUUUGCUGCAUUAACAAAUUGUUUCCUGGAGUGUGGAAUAAAGGCCCCUCAACAGAGGCUAAAGCAAUGUGAGACAGGACUCACACAUGCCAGAGCAACCCAUCUGGCCAUUCUUCCACCCCAGCUGGGGUCCCAAACCACGAACCAGGCUGAAGGUGCGCUGCCAGGGCCCAGGAAUAACUGAGCUUGCUCAUCUCGUGAGGUGACGACUGCACCACUGUUUAAAGGGAUCGCCGACAUCCCAAGGGUUUGGAGAUUUGCAGGCGGGUCUGCCUUUGCAGUUCCAAGGAAGGAUACUGGGAAGAGAGUGUGGACACAGGACAGGGGGCUGCUAUUUGAGAAGGUUCCAGGAGUGACUGUGACCUGCCUUCUCCUUUCAUCUAAACGAGAAAGGUUGAGGUUACAAGACUGAUUUGGUUCUAGACUAGUAUAACCAAACCAUGGCAGAAAAAAAUAUAGGAAGUUUUUGUAGUCAUAA